rnacentral:rRNA from 1 species
GGACGAACGCUGGCGGCGUGCUUCACACAUGCAAGUCGAGCGAUGAAGCCCCUUCGGGGGUGGAUCAGCGGCGAACGGGUGAGUAACACGUGGGCAACCUACCCCUAGCACUGGGAUAACCCCGGGAAACCGGGGCUAAUACCGGAUACGACCACCGAGGGCAUCCUCCGGUGGUGGAAAGUUCCGGCGGCUAGGGAUGGGCCCGCGGCCUAUCAGCUCGUUGGUGGGGUGAUGGCCCACCAAGGCGACGACGGGUAGCCGGCCUGAGAGGGUGACCGGCCACACUGGCACUGGGACACUGGCCAGACUCCUACGGGAGGCUGCAGUCGAGGAUCUUCGGCAAUGGGCGCAAGCCUGACCGAGCGACGCCGCGUGUGCGAUGAAGGCCUUCGGGUUGUAAAGCACUUUCGGGGGGAAGAAAGGGUAGCUUGAUCGACCCCCAGAAGAAGCACGGGCUAAGUUCGUGCCAGCAGCCGCGGUAAGACGAACCGUGCAAACGUUGUUCGGAAUCACUGGGCUUAAAGGGCGCGUAGGCGGUCGGCUAGGUCCUGGGUGAAAGCCCCCAGCUCAACUGGGGAAGUGCCCGGGAUACCAGCCGACUCGAGGGGGGUAGGGGCGUAUGGAACUUCCGGUGGAGCGGUGAAAUGCGUAGAUAUCGGAAGGAACGCCGGUGGCGAAAGCGAUACGCUGGACCCCUUCUGACGCUGAGGCGCGAAAGCCAGGGGAGCAAACGGGAUUAGAUACCCCGGUAGUCCUGGCCCUAAACGUUGGGUACUAGACUGUGGACUGACAUGGGUUCACAGUCGGAGCAAAAGUGUUAAGUACCCCGCCUGGGGAGUAUGGUCGCAAGGCUGGAACUCAAAGGAAUUGACGGGGGCUCACACAAGCGGUGGAGCAUGUGGCUUAAUUCGAGGCUACGCGAAGAACCUUAUCCUGGGCUUGACAUGUGCGAAAGCGGCAGGAAGUAGGGGACGGAAACGCACCCCGAACGGUAUCCAGUCCGGAACUUGCUACAGGUGCUGCAUGGCUGUCGUCAGCUCGUGUCGUGAGAUGUUGGGUUAAGUCCCGUAACGAGCGAAACCCUUGUCUCCAGUUGCCAGCGGGUCAUGCCGGGGACUCUGGAGAGACUGCCGGUGUCAAACCGGAGGAAGGUGGGGAUGACGUCAAGUCCUCAUGGCCUUUAUGCCCAGGGCUGCACACGUGCUACAAUGGCAUGCACAAAGGGACGCAAGCUCGCAAGAGGGAGCCAAUCCCAAAAAACAUGCCUCAGUCCAGAUUGAAGGCUGCAACUCGCCUUCAUGAAGUUGGAAUCGCUAGUAAUCGCGGGUCAGCAACACCGCGGUGAAUGUGU